AUUGAACGCUGGCGGCAUGCCUUACACAUGCAAGUCGAACAGCAGCACGGGUGCUUGCACCUGGUGGCGAGUGGCGAACGGGUGAGUAAUACAUCGGAACGUACCUUAUCGUGGGGGAUAACGCAGCGAAAGCUGUGCUAAUACCGCAUACGCCCUGAGUGGGAAAGCGGGGGAUCGCAAGACCUCGCGCGAUUAGAGCGGCCGAUGCCUGAUUAGCUUGUUGGUGGGGUAAAAGCCCACCAAGGCGACGAUCAGUAGCUGGUCUGAGAGGACGAUCAGCCACACUGGGACUGAGACACGGCCCAGACUCCUACGGGAGGCAGCAGUGGGGAAUUUUGGACAAUGGGGGCAACCCUGAUCCAGCAAUGCCGCGUGAGUGAAGAAGGCCUUCGGGUUGUAAAGCUCUUUUGUCAGGGAAGAAACACCGGCUCUAACACAGUCUGGGAAUGACGGUACCUGAAGAAUAAGCACCGGCUAACUACGUGCCAGCAGCCGCCGUAA
rnacentral:rRNA from 1 species